AUUAUCUCUUUUAUAAACGAUCUUUGGAGUCAGCCGCUCCACCGACACGUCUGCUGGGAUACUCUGCCUGGAAACACCGCAAACUAAUCGGAACCGGCGGCCGACAGAGACGGACGGGUCUCGUAGGAUACGAGGGGGUCGAUUAGGUGUGACAGUGAUGAUGGGAGGAGAGCAGAGCCAUGAAAGAGAGGCUGAGGAGAGAGAAAAAGAGACUGAAAAACAUCAAGAGUCUGCCAAUACUGACAGCUCCGGAUCUGCUGCUGCUGAAGAAACCCCAGGAGAGCUGCCCCAGUGCCAGAUGGGAAACAGGAAGGUGGACAACAUGUGCUUCAUGAUCUCGUGCACCAACUGGUACUAAAGGGAUCCUCGUACAACAGGUUGAUGAAACAGAAGAUGUUGAUGGGACGUCUUGGCCAGACGCUGCAUUCAUGGAGCCAACGAAAAUCCAAAACCAGGCUGUCACUGAAGUCCCAUGUGAUCAGCGCAUUGUUUCGCCAUUUUAUAGGUCAAAACAAACAGCAUAUAACAUAUGUUAGAGGUGGUUGUUGGUAGAUUUUGAUCACAUUAGGUCAGAGUCAGGAUAGCUGUGUUCCCCGGUUUUCACUCUUUAUGCUAAGCUAAGCUGACUCGAUGCUGGCGGUGGCAUCAUAUUUACCGUACAGACGAGACUGUAAUGAAACUUCUCAUGUAACUCUUGGCAAGAAAGCAAAUAAGUGCAUAAGUUCAGCCAAAUCAAUCAUUUUCACAGCAAUGACUUAAAUAAAGACGUUUGAUUUUUAUUUA